rnacentral:rRNA from 1 species
GUCAGCAGCCGCGGUAACACCGGCGGCCCGAGUGGUGAUCGUGAUUAUUGGGUCUAAAGGGUCCGUAGCCGGUUUGGUCAGUCCUCCGGGAAAUCUGAUAGCUCAACUAUUAGGCUUUCGGGGGAUACUGCCAGACUUGGAACCGGGAGAGGUAAGAGGUACUACAGGGGUAGGAGUGAAAUCUUGUAAUCCCUGUGGGACCACCUGUGGCGAAGGCGUCCUACCAGAACGGGUUCGACGGUGAGGGACGAAAGCUGGGGGCACGAACCGGAUUAGAUACCCGGGUAGUCCCAGCCGUAAACGAUGCUCGCUAGGUGUUAGGCAUGGCGCGACCGUGUCUGGUGCCGCAGGGAAGCCGUGAAGCGAGCCACCUGGGAAGUACGGCCGCAAGGCUGAACUUAAAGGAAUUGGCGGGGGAGCACAACAACGGGUGGAGCCUGCCGGUUUAAUUGGACUCAACGCCGGACAACUCACCGGGGGCGACAGCAAUAUGUAGGCCAAGCUGAAGACUUUGCCUGAAUCGCUGAGAGGAGUGGUGGUGCAUGG